GAAUUUCCUUCGGGAUGAAUAAAAUACUAUCUUAUCUUAUCUGAAUCUCUGUUGUAGGAUAACGUUAGCCUAUGACAAAAUUGCCAGCUAGCAUUCAGAUUUCUGACCAUGCUUUGAUUAACGUCAACAUUACCUUAUAUUAUGUAUAUUGUGCUUCGAUUCUAACUUGUAAUAAAACGGAGAUAUCAUAGUUAGUCUACACCGUUUUUCUCUACUGUCAUUAAGUCUACAUUCUGAGCUGGAAUGUCAAUUGCUUAUCAGUGUGAAAUAUCUAGCUGAGUUCUGAUUGAGAACGCCAUUUUAUUAACAUUAAUGUUAAUCCCUUCAUUGUGCACAGAAGCUUGAAAUUCCAGUCAUUUAGCCUUGCUUUAUGUUUCCAGGCAAAACUUUAGGUACGUUGGGAGAGACGUCUACAGGUAUUCGUCCUUAAAAGCUCAUUUUUAUCGCCUUCACACUGGCAAAUCGUUGUUUACACAAGAUUUGACUGUAGAAGCUUUGAAAUGCACCGUUUCCCUAUAUCAGACCAUCUAGAACAGGACACAACACCCUGCUUACAUUUGAAGGAGGGCUAGGACACACAAGAGACCUGUAGGCCCACUAUGCUGCAGCACGAACGACUGGGUCGACUUAGGAUUGAGUCCCCUCUCUGCCAGAAAUUAUCACUGUGUUCAAGGAAGACCCAGGCCCAAAUAAAGCUGCUAUGUCUAAGGUCAGCCCCUUUUCCUCAGCUUUUCAAGUUGGCAGUCAUCUAAUAUUAAAGACCAAGCCAAAGUCCCGC